ACAGAUAGCAGAGAGACCAAAAUCAAAAUAACAAGCCCAGGGAGGCCAUAAAGUUUAGGAAAUCUUACAGAAUUCAUGCUGUCAUGAAGUUUUUCUGGAAUUGCUGACAGUGUGGCCAAGCGGAAAGGGGUCCGAAUCUUGGUCUAGCCACUUACCAGCUGAUGACCUCAAUGAAUCAAUUACUUAUCCCCACCGAGCCUCAAUCUUCCUUCUGGAAAAUGGGGACAGAAGCACCUGCUCCUGGUGUUGAUCUAGAGACAGAAGAGAUCACACACACGCAGCACCACAGCUAAUGCCCUGCAUAUAACAGGUUUAUGUAAUCGAUACUGUGGCCAUAAGAGCAGGUGUUCUCAAACCGUGAUCCUUGGACCAGCAGCAUCAGCAUCACCUGGGAACUUGUUAGAAAUGCAGACACUUGGGCCCUAUCCCAGACCUCCUGGAUUAGAAACUCUAGGGCUGAGGCCCCACGAUCUCUUGACAAGGUUUCUGGGUGAUAUUGACAUGUGCAGCCUUGGGAAAAAUCCAGUCCCAGGAAUCCAGCAUUUGCCAGUUGAGUUUAUACCUUGGUUCUUUUCCAUGAGCCUCAGUCUAAAGGGAGGAGGUAAUUCAUGCCAAGCAUCUGACAUGCUUCAGGGAUGCAGAUCUUC
ensembl:lncRNA